CUGCCCAGUGACUAAAAUUCAACGGCCGCGGUAUCCUAACCGUGCAAAGGUAGCAUAAUCACUUGCCUAUUAAUUGUAGGCUAGAAUGAAAGGACCAACGAAAUAAAAACUGUCUCAGUUAGCAAACUAAAAACUAUUCUCUAUAUGAAGAAAUAUAGAUAAAGUAGAAGGACAAGAAGACCCUAUAGAGCUUUAUUUUAAUUUUAGAUUAUUACUAUAAAAAAAUUCGGUUGGGGCGACCGAGGGAGUUAUUAAUCACCCUCAUAUACACAGAUAUAUAAAUCAAAUAAAUGACCCUUUUAAGAUCAAAAAAACAAGCUACCUUAGGGAUAACAGGCUAAUCCUAUUUGAGAGUUCAUAUCGACCAUAGGGAUUGGCACCUCGAUGUUGGCUUAGGAUAUCUAUAUAGCGCAAAAGUUAUAUAAUGAUGGUUUGUUCAACCAAUAAUAUCCU
rnacentral:rRNA from 1 species